AUUGAACGCUGGCGGCAGGCUUAACACAUGCAAGUCGAGCGGAGUGAUGGUGCUUGCACUAUCACUUAGCGGCGGACGGGUGAGUAAUGCUUAGGAAUCUGCCAUUUAGUGGGGGACAACAUUCCGAAAGGAAUGCUAAUACCGCAUACGUCCUACGGGAGAAAGCAGGGGAUCUUCGGACCUUGCGCUAAAUGAUGAGCCUAAGUCGGAUUAGCCAGUUGGUGGGGUAAAGGCCUACCAAGGCGACGAUCUGUAGCGGGUCUGAGAGGAUGAUCCGCCACACUGGGACUGCGACACGGCCCAGACUCCUACGGGAGGCAGCAGUGGGGAAUAUUGGACAAUGGGCGGAAGCCUGAUCCAGCCAUGCCGCGUGUGUGAAGAAGGCCUUUUGGUUGUAAAGCACUUUAAGCGAGGAGGAGGCUCUCCUAGUUAAUACCUAGGAAGAGUGGACGUUACUCGCAGAAUAAGCACCGGCUAACUCUGUGCCAGCCGCCGCCGUAAGAC
rnacentral:rRNA from 1 species